UACGUAGGCAGCAAGCGUUGUUCGGAGUUACUGGGCGUAAAGGGUGUGUAGGCGGUUGUUUAAGGUUGGUGUGAAAUCUCCCGGCUCAACCGGGAGGGUGCGCCGAAUACUGAGUGACUAGAGUGCGGGAGAGGAAAGUGGAAUUCCUGGUGUAGCGGUGAAAUGCGUAGAUAUCAGGAGGAACACCGGUGGUGUAGACGGCUUUCUGGACCGUAACUGACGCUGAGACACGAAAGCGUGGGUAGCAAACAGG
rnacentral:rRNA from 1 species